GACGAACGCUGGCGGCGUGCCUAACACAUGCAAGUCGAACGGAGAUUAUUGAUGAAGCUUGCGAUUUAAUAAUCUUAGUGGCGGACGGGUGAGUAACGCGUGGGUAACCUGCCCAUAAGAGGGGGAUAACACCGGGAAACCGGUGCUAAUACCGCAUGACACCUAGAUGGUGCAUACUGUUUAGGUUAAAGGAUUUAACCGGUACAGGACGGGCCCGCGUCCCAUUAGCUGGUUGGUGAGGUAACGGCUCACCAAGGCGACGAUGGGUAGCCGACCUGAGAGGGUGACCGGCCACACUGGGACUGAGACACGGCCCAGACUCCUACGGGAGGCAGCAGUGGGGAAUAUUGCGCAAUGGACGGAAGUCUGACGCAGCGACGCCGCGUGAGCGACGAAGGCCUUCGGGUCGUAAAGCUCUGUUCUUGGGACGAAGGAAAGUAGACGGUACCCAAGGAGAAAGACCCGGCUAACUAACGUG
rnacentral:rRNA from 1 species